rnacentral:rRNA from 1 species
AUUGAACGCUGGCGGCAGGCUUAACACAUGCAAGUCGAGCGGAGCGAGGGUGCUUGCACCUUAGCUUAGCGGCGGACGGGUGAGUAAUGCUUAGGAAUCUGCCUAUUAGUGGGGGACUACAUUCCGAAAGGAAUGCUAAUACCGCAUACGCCCUACGGGGGAAAGCAGGGGAUCUUCGGACCUUGCGCUAAUAGAUGAGCCUAAGUCGGAUUAGCUAGUUGGUGGGGUAAAGGCCUACCAAGGCGACGAUCUGUAGCGGGUCUGAGAGGAUGAUCCGCCACACUGGGACUGAGACACGGCCCAGACUCCUACGGGAGGCAGCAGUGGGGAAUAUUGGACAAUGGGCGGAAGCCUGAUCCAGCCAUGCCGCGUGUGUGAAGAAGGCCUUUUGGUUGUAAAGCACUUUAAGCGAGGAGGAGGCUACUUAGAUUAAUACUCUGGGAUAGUGGACGUUACUCGCAGAAUAAGCACCGGCUAACUCUGUGCCAGCCGCCGCUGUAAGAC